GCGGUGAGGGCGGCACCAUCUCGGUACGCCUGUUGUGGCGGGAGCUACAGACCUCGCGCGGCGGGUGUUCGACGGAAUGCCGCGCAGGAACGCCGCCACCGGCAACGCACUCAUCAGGUGGGGCAAAGGCAUUUGAGCUGUUCAGGACUUCUGGGGCAUGACGAGGCAGAAGGACAGUGAUGGGGCCUGUUAAUUUGUGUGGCAACAUUGUUGGGUGACAAAGAGUCAGUUUGACCGUUUCAACAAUGUGUCUUGAUUGUGUGGUGAUUCAUUAUUCGCUAGUGGUGAAGGGUGAAAUAUCGUGUAUCCUGGGUUCCUGACAAUAGGUAACUAUCCUCUAUGUGCAUUGUAAUUCCUUUCUUAUUGGCUCGUUCCACAUCUCGAAAAAGAGAAAAAUGUAGCGGGAUGGGUAUCAUCAUCACCAUCAAGGAACAAGUGUAGAUUCCUCAUAAUUUAAUUGAUGAGCAUUUGUUUUCUUAUUAUAAAUGCGUAGUCUUCAAGCAGUUGAAGCCUAAGCAGUCUGUUUGCAGUUCCUAUGAAGUCAAGUUAGUUACAUGAAUUUUUACAACAUCAUGCAAGACUUUUGUGCAGCUAUGGCUCAGUGAUGCACUUGGUUAUCAAAAUAUAGAAAGAAAAUGCUUUUGAGAAAGCAUCGGGGAUGCCAGAUGGUGCCUAAGUUGUUGAUGUUCAUUGACUGGCAACAAUGACCUUUGCAUGACUUAUGUUUCAUAGAAUAGCAGCUAGCAAUUUAUGUAUAAGUUAGUUUACUGAAAUUUUCUACCUUGAUUCAUUAAAAGAACUUCCAGAAAAUACAUUAUCCUAAACUUGGAAGUCAAAUGUGAAAUAUAUGUACUAAAACUUGGCCCUGAGAUAUCAAUAGUUCAUUUUCUGGUCAUCAUGAUGUUUUCAGGAAGGUGGAAUGGUAUCAGGGAUUGGGCUGCCAUCUGCCGUGCCUCCCAAAAUUUAGAGUAGACAGUUGAUAUAUCCACGCACCUAUUGAGGACAGCAAUGAGUUAUUAGAGUUAUUCAUGAUUACAGGCAUGCCAGCAGCAUAUAGUUCUGCCUGUGAGUGGGCUGCUACAUAAAGGAACACUGGGCUGGGACUGCAUACAAGUUGGGGGAGAAGAGUCAAAAAAUCUGUACGGUUGAUAUUUAUAGAAGCUUUUAUCACAUUUGACAUACUUUGUGAAUCAUUGCCAAUGUCAGAGGCCGCCAAACUUAGCCAGGCGAUCAGCCGAUCAGCACCCUCUAUUGUGGCUUGACCCCAAGGGGUGGAAGGACAGGUCAUCAUUGACACCCAUUUUAGGAUGAGCACCGGAGUGCAAUUCGAGGUUUAUGGCUGAAAAUGCAGCUUCCAUCAUCGCGAAAAAUACCUUCCUGAUUGGACUAUAUAUCACUUCACCAGUUGAGCUGUCAUUGAUGAUAUAGGAGACACCAAUCUAUCCUAGGAUGUGUUCCUGAGUGCCUUUCAAGAUGUAUGGUUGAAAAUGCUGCCUCCAUUAUUGACAACAAUACCUUCUUGAUUGGGCUAUAUUUCAGUUUGCCAGUUGAGCUGUCAUUGACGAUAUAGGAGAGAAGUAUGUAGCGCACACUGUAUACAGACAAUCUUAAAAACUUGCUCAUCACCACAACCUGUGGAUCCUUGCUGCGCGGUCGAUUGCAUCAAUAGCCAUCAUGUUUCGGUUUUCGGACGUGUAGAUCUUGCAGCAGAUAAAGUUUGAGUGCAUCAUGCAUUGAUGCUGAGAUUAUCCUUUGCCUUUGGAGCAGGCGGAGAAGAGAGAACCUGGAUGCAUAAGCUGUAUGAGGUGUUCUAAGUUGGUAUCGGACAAGUCAACAGUGAAGUGGCCAGUAUAGCCUUCCUAUGUCUACUGUGAUAAACAAUCAGUCCAGGCAAUAGCAGGAUGGUUUAAGCCGAUAUUCAAUAUACAGGUAAUAGCUUCUAUAAAGAAGGGAGGAGGGGGGCCUCAAACAAGUCCAGUAAGAUAGAAUUCGUCCCCAUUGUGGAUUCAAUUAGCAGGUCCUAAUGUGAUACCUAACAAGAGAGCUUUCUGAGAGCUGGUUUUGUCGUGAUAAGAGUGUCUGAUUACUUUCCGAGAUAAGAAAUGGAUCUUCAUUCAGGGAGAAAUGUUACGCGCUGAGCUGAAUAAUUGGGACUAGUCAGCAAUCCAGGCAACAUAUGAACAUGAAAAUUUAAAAAUUUUCUCAAGGAGCAUCUCUUGGCAGAAUUUCUUGAAGUAGGUAUAUUCAAGUCAUCUUGAACUUGGGAGAUUAGUUACUAGAGAAAGCAUACCUUGCUUGAGUGAUUUGGUUCCGUGCCUUGUUCCUCUUCGUCUCCCCCUUUCGCUGGGCAUGGUUAUAUGAGUACGUGCCUGCACGGUGCAAUAAUGAGAUGCUGCGGAUUAUGAUAAGGAUUUACAUAUGCAAAAAAAAAUCAGGCAUAACUGGUUCCUGAUGCAGUCUGGAGCCACGACUAACGAGCAGCAUGCUUGCAAUUACAAACAUGCAUGAUUCAUCUGGGUUAGUCAGUCACACAAAGUUCUAUUACAUUCAUAUCAAUCAGCAGUUAUCUUCAAGUACUUGUCAAGCAUCCUGUCCUUAGUCAAGUCAGUGAAGUACCCCUUCUCAACUUCGAGCCCUUGCUCUGCUGCAAUCUGCUCAACCACGGUCUGAACUUGAUAGGCACUGACAUGAUCUGGAUCCAACAAGCAUGCGAUCUCUGUGCAAUCAUCACCAUGGAGAAGCGCAAGAGCUUGCACAGUCGGAAGCCCUCCACCGCGUCCGCUUAAUCUUCGAGUAAUCCGCCUCACAGUUGCAACAUCCUUUGAGAGCACUGGCACAUUGUAUCCCUCAAGAAAAGGUGUCGCGCCAACUGUUGUGGCCCCUUUUUCAGAAGAAACAUUGGUUGGACCCUCAUCAGGCUUAAUUGGCAGAACAUCAGGGAGCAUGGUACCUGACCACUGGUUGCCCAUGUGAUUUGGCCGGUAGUAGCCGAGCUCACGCCGUAUUGCACCUACAGACUUGCCUGUGGGAUGGGCUGCUGCAUAGAGGAACACUGGCACUGCAUACAAAAUUGGGCAAGAAGGGUCAAGCCUACCGUCUGUAACCGGAAGGUCCCGGGUUCGAGCCCCAGCCUCUGCACAUUUGUGUGGGUAAGGCUUGGGGCUUAAAAACAACCCUUCCCCAGACCCCGCACAGUGCGGGAAGCCUACGGCACUGGGUACGCCCUUUAAGAGUCAAGUUUUUUUAAUUGCUUAUGUUUAUUGUAGCUUAGAAAUUUGGCAUACCUUGAAAAUCAUUGCCAAUGUCAGAAGCCAGCUGCUUAGCCAAGGAAGCUGCAUCCUCCAUUGUGGCUUGACCCAGGGGGUGGAAGGACAGGUCAUCAUUGACACCCAUUCUAGGAUGAGCACCGGAGUGCAAUUCAAGGUUUAUGGCUGAAAAUGCAGCCUCCAUCAUCGCCAACAAUACCUUCCUGAUUGGACUAUAUAUCACUUCACCGGUUGAGCUGUCAUCGAUAAUAUAGGAGACAAGUGUGUAGCGUACGCGGUUGUAGAGGCUAUCUUCGAACUUGCUUAGCACCGCAACCUGAGGAUCAGUCUUUGCUGCAAGAUCAAUUGCGGCAAUAGCUGUGGGAUUGCAGCUUUCAGAAAUGUAGAGCUUGCAGCAGAUAAACUUUUGAGUGCAUCAUGCUGAGAUUGUCGUUUGCAUUUGGAGCAAGCGGAGAAGAUAGAACCUGGAUAGCAUAAGUUAUGUGUGAGAUUUUCGAAGCAGGGACUAGACAUUCAGGGAAGUGACCAACACAGUGUCCCUAUAUCUGCUGGCACCACAAGAUAUUUUUGGCCAGUUUGUAGCGGAAUCAGUACAUUGGCAAACUAUGUGCCUUUGGAUCUUCUCACAGACAAAUACCUUGUUUCCAAAUUACCGGUAAUAGCUUCUAUAAAGAAAAAGAAAACAAAAACUGAAACUUAGUCCAAUAAGACAGAGCUUGUUGACAGGAGUUUAUUCAGUAAACAGGUCCUUUGUGAUUCCUAACAAGGCUGCUAUUUGGGAGGCUGGGGCUUUGUCAUUUGUCAUAUCAAUUGUUAGAUUACUUCCUCGGAUAAAAAUCAGAUAAUUUAGUUAUUCAUCUGCAAAGCUAUAUUCAGUUUUCUGCUGACAAAUCAAAAUAUUUAAAUAUUUUUGUAGGAGAAAUGUUCCACCAAGCUGAAUACUUGGUACCAAGUUCAGAGACAGCAAUGCAGGCAGCACAUCAACAGCAGGGUCGUCUUCUGAUUCCAGUUCUGUUUGGCCUGGAAGGCUCGCGGCGUGCUGCAGAGAUCAGAAAAUGCCAGCUCCCGGAGGCAUCCGGGGACUAAGCAGGAGGAGGUCUGCUCUAAUCGCGCGCGAGGCCAAGGGGGCACGCGGAACACGCCGGUGGAGCGUCGUGUGGCUCCGGAGGGCACCGCGCCUUGCAGGGUGCGCGUUACAGUUACACGAGGUCUGCCUGUUUAUCCGCUCCGUGUCCGUGUGGAUAGGAUAGGAUCGGCCGGCUAUCAGCCAGCCACUGGCUGCUGCGUAGAGUAGAUCACGUGCACCGUACUCUAAAGCGUUCUGGUCUGGACUGUCGUCGUCCACGCGCCUG